rnacentral:lncRNA from 1 species
AUUCGAAUUGUUACAAAGUUCAGCUAGAGAUUUCCUUCUCCCUGUGGAGUUUCACUCCCUGCUCCUCUGGUCACCCUCCUGAUGGAUCUCUGUGGUGCCAGGCAGGAAUGGCCUGCUAGGGGAUGCAGCGAGAUCCCAGGUCCUUUCUGCUGCUUCCUCUACCACUGUUUUUCACUCGGCUCUCCAAAUUGACUCAGCUCCAGGUAAACACUACACGUGAAGAGUGGUGAAAGGGAACAUUGAUUACUGAAGUGCCCUGGAGAGGGAAAGCACUGGUCAACAUCACAUGGACAAAUUUCAUUGUUUUCUAAAGAUGGCCUGGAAGUAGUCUUUGCCACUGCUUCCUCCACAAACAGCUCUUCAUAACAUGGGCUGCAUGAAAUCAAAGCAAACUUUCCCAUUUCCUACCAUAUAUGAAGGUGAGAAGCAGCAUGAGAGUGAAGAACCCUUUAUGCCAGAAGAGAGAUGUCUACCUAGGAUGGCUUCUCCAGUUAAUGUCAAAGAGGAAGUGAAGGAACCUCCAGGGACCAAUACUGUGAUCUUGGAAUAUGCACACCGCCUGUCUCAGGA